AAGAUGGCUGUUAGUAAAAUACGUCGGUGUACUAUGCUUGGUACUACGAGAUGGCUUGUUCGUUCUUUUCCAGUUUUUUAAUAGACUAUCCGCCCGCAACAACGCUUAAUUAUCUGGUCGCUAAUCUUCUCAUGAUGGCUGCCAUGCCCCGCGGUGUAAUGCAAUACCAGGCAUCAAAUAUCAACUGCCAAAUAAUCCAAUCCAAUGAGCGCCCAACACACAGCGACUCGAGCAACAACCAUCACAACCCAAUAAAGAAAAGAGAUCAACGGCAUUUAUGUACCCGGUUCAUUGUAGAGCAACACGGCCGAUUAGCAUGACAGCAAUGAAAACAAAAGCAUUUACAUAAAUAAUAUAACAAUGGGACUAUGCUCCCGACACCAGAGCCGUUGUCCGUCGCACUGUCGGACGAGCAUUCGCCAGGAAGAACUCCCCGCUGUGAUAGCGCCAGAUAAUGACACGCUAUUAUGGGGGCCAAUUGCUGAUUUUAUUACUUCCUGCAUGAAGCUAACUAAUAAUCAGAGACUCACACUUCAACUGCUGUCAGUAGAGCCAUAUGUCAGUACGCAGCCCGCUUAUGUGUUGUUUCAUGCAAGUCAGUUAGCUCCUCUUGAUCUGCGGGAGUGAAAAAUGAUACUACUAAUAUUAAAGCAAACCCUUUCAUCAACGAACGAACUUCUUACACGAUUAAGAGAAACAUAAAGAAAUAGUAAAUUCAAAAUGAAUAUACUAUAACUUCUUAUUAUUAAUCAGGUUUCUAACAACUCCAUACUCAUCCGAGCCCUUUUAUACUUCGUAUAAGAAGAUACCGAGUGACUCGAUAGACUUCAAAAAAACAGCUCUCGUACUCCCAGUCCGCUACAUUAGAUUGUUCGUAGAAACUGAUUAGAGGACAAUCUUGACGUUGCCAACUUCAGUGUGGGCGAAGACUUCU
rnacentral:sRNA from 1 species